AUAAAUUUCAUACUUACCCAAAAGUUGUUGACUUGUUGGAUGUUGUUUAUUUUGUGAUGUAGCUGUCACUUGCCUCAUUGUUGGUCUCCAUGGAAACUCUCCAUAACUCAGUGGAGAGAAAUUCCAUGGGAAAGCAAUGGGUGCGUUCCGGAAGAGAUCUGGGUUUGGUGUAUUGUCGUUUAAGUUGGUUGAAUUGUUAAGUUGCAUGUGAAGGAAACUUUGUUUUAUGUCCGUGUUUAGUUUUCAGUACUGACGGUUAAUGCAUGUCAUUGCAGUGGUUAGGUGGUUCGUAUUUAUACGUUUUGUGGUUACGUUGUUAUUAUGUGUAUGGAUUUUUUUUUUAAAUGUUCUGGUUUCAUGUGGUUCUGUGUUACAGGUCUCUCCGAUUUCGACCGUGGAACACACCCUUAGUUCUUGGGACACUGAUACCCCUAUUCUGUUGGAAGUGUUCUAAUACCUAAGUGGUUUCCCACUAUUUGAGUGUGAUGAUGUUGGUUGAGGGUAUAUGUAUGGAUAGGUGGAUCGGAUGAUGUGUUCCUGUUAGAGAUAGAAUACAUCAUCCGAAUAUUUUUUUUUGCCGGUGUUUGUGGGAUGAUAAUUUCUGCCCUCCCUCAUUUGGCCAUCUACCACACAGUGGAAUAAAAAGUGAGUGAUAGUGGUAAAAUUAAAUUCAAAUAUUAAAAAAGAAACAGUUGGACCACCAGAUUCUAAAAUAGAAAGAAAAGAUAUUUAAGAAAGUGAAAUAAGUGAAAUGUUAAUUGGUGCCAACAAUUUUGGAUAAAGGAACUCAGCAAACAACAAGUAAAGUUUGAUUCCCGGCGGCCCGAAUUAAAUCAUGGAGAGCGGGGCCGCCGCCCAAAAAAAAAAAAAAACAAAAUUUUUGAAAUUUAAUAAAAUUCAAAAA